rnacentral:rRNA from 1 species
AGAGUUUGAUCCUGGCUCAGGAUGAACGCUAGCUACAGGCUUAACACAUGCAAGUCGAGGGGCAGCAUGAAUAUUGGCUUGCCAAUAUUUGAUGGCGACCGGCGCACGGGUGAGUAACACGUAUCCAACCUUCCGGUUACUCGGGGAUAGGCUUUCGAAAGAAAGAUUAAUACCCGAUGUUGUGUAUCUUUCUCCUGAAAGAUACGCCAAAGGAUUCCGGUAACCGAUGGGGAUGCGUUCCAUUAGGCAGUUGGCGGGGUAACGGCCCACCAAACCUUCGAUGGAUAGGGGUUCUGAGAGGAAGGUCCCCCACAUUGGAACUGAGACACGGUCCAAACUCCUACGGGAGGCAGCAGUGAGGAAUAUUGGUCAAUGGACGGAAGUCUGAACCAGCCAAGUAGCGUGAAGGAUGACUGCCCUCUGGGUUGUAAACUUCUUUUAUACGGGAAUAACAUGAGGUACGCGUACCUUAUUGCAUGUACCGUUAUGAAUAAGCAUCGGCUAACUCCGUGCCAGCAGCCGCGGUAAUACGGAGGAUGCGAGCGUUAUCCGGAUUUAUUGGGUUUAAAGGGAGCGUAGGUGGGAUAUUAAGUCAGCUGUGAAAGUUUGGGGCUCAACCUUAAAAUUGCAGUUGAUACUGGUUUCCUUGAGUACGGUACAGGUGGGCGGAAUUCGUGGUGUAGCGGUGAAAUGCUUAGAUAUCACGAAGAACUCCGAUCGCGAAGGCAGCUCACCGGGCCGGAACUGACACUGAUGCUCGAAAGUGCGGGUAUCAAACAGGAUUAGAUACCCUGGUAGUCCGCACAGUAAACGAUGAAUACUCGCUGUUUGCGAUACACAGUAAGCGGCCAAGCGAAAGCGUUAAGUAUUCCACCUGGGGAGUACGCCGGCAACGGUGAAACUCAAAGGAAUUGACGGGGGCCCGCACAAGCGGAGGAACAUGUGGUUUAAUUCGAUGAUACGCGAGGAACCUUACCCGGGCUUAAAUUGCGCUGGCUUUUACCGGAAACGGUAUUUUCUUCGGACCAGCGUGAAGGUGCUGCAUGGUUGUCGUCAGCUCGUGCCGUGAGGUGUCGGCUUAAGUGCCAUAACGAGCGCAACCCUUAUCUUUAGUUACUAACAGUUUUGCUGAGGACUCUAAAGAGACUGCCGUCGUAAGAUGCGAGGAAGGUGGGGAUGACGUCAAAUCAGCACGGCCCUUACGUCCGGGGCUACACACGUGUUACAAUGGGGAGCACAGCAGGUUGCUACACGGCGACGUGAUGCCAAUCCGUAAAACUCCUCUCAGUUCGGAUCGAAGUCUGCAACCCGACUUCGUGAAGCUGGAUUCGCUAGUAAUCGCGCAUCAGCCACGGCGCGGUGAAUACGUUCCCGGGCCUUGUACACACCGCCCGUCAAGCCAUGAAAGCCGGGGGUACCUGAAGUACGUAACCGCGAGGAUCGUCCUAGGGUAAACCUGGUGAUUGGGGCUAAGUCGUAACAAGGUAACC